rnacentral:piRNA from 1 species
UCUAGGAGAGUACCAGAAGCUGGAGGAUGGG